rnacentral:tRNA from 1 species
GGGAUCUCUGGUCUGAUGUGGAGCGGGGAUCCGAGGCUUACGACGCUUUGAAGCGAGAUCGAUGUGAGGUGUUCUGGUCGGUUCUGGAGCGACGGAUUCCC